UCUAGCAGCAGCCAACGGCAGCAGACAGCAAUCUCUUCUCAGUGGACACGAGAUCGAGACGGCGAGACUACUAUGUUUGCCAAUCUACACGUUGAAUACGCUUCUAUAGCUGUAACGUUAAACAUUUCUAGUUUUCACUAUGCACUGCAAGUAAUUUGCACAGUUAAGUUUCCGAGCUGCUGAUUGGUUGCUCCCUUCUUUAUGCUCCAGACAUGAAGGCACGCGGAUAUGUCUUGACGCUGUUGGACACUUCUCUCUGCUGAAAACAUCUUGCACAGGUCCAGACCGAUGCGCAGAGGCCCACUGGAGAAACGCGUCCCAAUGGUAAAACAAUGGUAGAAGUGUUUAAUGUUGACUUAAUUACGUUACUGAUUUUAGAAUUGUAAAAUGUUUCUAAGUGUUUUGGUUACAGCAAAGUCUUAAUUAAGGGUUGGAAUUCUAGUCAGAAGAUGAGUCACUGUCAAUGUAUUGUGUGUAAACUGAGGUGAAAAUAUAUUUUAUUAAAAUAUUUUGAGUUCA